CUUCUACUGCUAUGUGCUAGUGUUUCACCUGAAGCUAUCAUUUUCUUCUGCUGCUAUGUGUGGACAAGAACAACUAUACAUUGCAAAUUCCACAAGCUUUCAUUCACACAGAAAUUCGUUUACAACAUAGGCCAGUCUUGUAAGAGAAUAAAAUUCAGAAAGGAAAAUACAGAAUAGUUGCCUUUGUUCAGGCUUUUACAGCUCAAAUCACACACAAAAAUCUACAGGAACUUGUUAGUUGAUGCUGUUUGGCGUGGCGCCGCGAGCUUGGCCGCCGGAAAACAUGGUGGGUGCCGGCGGGGAUGGAGAGCCACGAGCAGGCCGGCGUCGAGGAGCAUGCCGACGAGCAGCUACGAGCCUACGACGGUGCCGCGACCUGGGCCGCCAACGAACGCGGCCGUGCCCGCGGGAAUGGAGGACGUCGAGCAGGGGAGUUGGGUCCAGCGUCGAGGAGCACACCGGCGGCGAUGUGGCGAGCAGCCGGAGUGGAUCACGCCGGCGGCCGGAAUUGGGGGCGUUGGAGGAGUUGGGCUAGGGAUUUGAUGCACGCUCGACCUGGUCUUCGGCUCGGGAUAAGGUGACUCUGCGCUGAGAUUCGUGCUGCCAGAUGUCAUGCGCGCGAGGUGGUCUUUCGUUUGGUCUCGUGCGACCCGGUCGUGCCAGAUUUUUUUCCCUCCGCCGUCGGCAUUUGGCGGACUCGGAGUGAGGGGCAAGGUCUCAACGACGCAAGUCACCGUCGUCCUCCGCCUCCUGCCUGCCGUUGCUCGCCCGCGCCGCUGUCCUCAGACCUCAGUCCCGGCCUCGCGCAGUCGACCAGCCGGUCACCGUCGUCCCUCAUCCCCUCCCCCUUCGCAGAUAUCUGGUGUGACAGGUGCCACUCAAGAGGCGACGCGCGCACACCAGCUGUUCGAAGAAAUGCAUCCCCGAAGUGUUUUCUACUCCCUCUGGCCCCAGCGAGAGACGACGCAUCGUCAAGAAUGACCUUUGGGUCUGUCUUUGAGAGGAGAGUGGCGUGGCCACUCAUGAGAUUGCGGACCAUGGGCGGUGCGCCCAUCCUGCAGCAGCUCCACCUGGUGGAAACGCUACUGCACCGCACCAGCGAUGACUGGUGCAUCGUCAAUGAUGGCACGGUUCUGUCCACCAUUUUCAUGGUUGUCUCUGGGUCUCUGAGUUGAGGUACAGCCUGUUCUUCGAGAUCAUGUGCCGGUGGAAGGCGGUUCAGUGGAGGUGGCACUGUCAUUGUUGAUCAGGGGAUGGUCAAUGUUCGUCGCCUUCAUAUGCAACAAGACUGCUGUCUCUGGGUUGCAGCCGUUUCCUCGAGACAUCAUGUCAUGGACAGGCCAGCUGUAUGGUUCCGUGGAUUCGGCGAAUUUCAUCUCCGUGAAAAUGGCAAGGAACCAAACAGAUUUCCUGUGCCGCAUGAACGAGCAUCACGAUCAGUUUUCACCGAGGGGAUAACCGCGGCCCUCGGAGACCACUUUACGGUCCAACACAGAGCUAGAAACGGCGCUCUCCGACCACGACGACUUCGUGCCUUCUACGAAGGUGCUAUCGCUGCAGGACUUGCAAGACAUCAUCUCCAAAGAGUCCCCCACAGCACAGAGGGUUCAAGGAUGGCCACGGUGAUGAAGAUAACUGCUUGUUUUGUGACACAUGGCGAUUUGUAUGCCGCAUGAUGAACUCGGCUUAGAGUUUAGUCACUCACUGCUGUCACGUGAUUUAGACAAACCAAUCAAUCAAUCAGAAGUUGUAAUUCCGAUAUUUUUGGCAGCCUUGAUUUGGUGCUUCAAACUAUAGAACAUGCUUGGUUGGCAGGCCUGAAGCUGUGGUAUAGCUCACCUGCAGCAGGUUUACUGACGUUGUAUAGAAUUUGCGUCAAUUAAUUCGGA